UAGGGAAUCUUCCGCAAUGGGCGAAAGCCUGACGGAGCAACGCCGCGUGAGUGAUGAAGGUCUUAGGAUCGUAAAACUCUGUUGUUAGGGAAGAACAAAUUUGUUAGUAACUGAACAAGUCUUGACGGUACCUAACCAGAAAGCCACGGCUAACUACGUGCCAGCAGCCGCGGUAAUACGUAGGUGGCAAGCGUUAUCCGGAAUUAUUGGGCGUAAAGCGCGCGUAGGCGGUUUCUUAAGUCUGAUGUGAAAGCCCACGGCUCAACCGUGGAGGGUCAUUGGAAACUGGGGAACUUGAGUGCAGAAGAGGAGAGUGGAAUUCCAUGUGUAGCGGUGAAAUGCGCAGAGAUAUGGAGGAACACCAGUGGCGAAGGCGGCUCUCUGGUCUGUAACUGACGCUGAUGUGCGAAAGCGUGGGGAUCAAACAGGAUUAGAUACCCUGGUAGUCCACGCCGUAAACGAUGAGUGCUAAGUGUUAGGGGGUUUCCGCCCCUUAGUGCUGCAGCUAACGCAUUAAGCUGUCCGCCUGGGGAGUACGACCGCAAGGUUG
rnacentral:rRNA from 1 species